GCAAUAAAGCGGUCACUAAUUCGUUAAAAUCUGCGGAAAUUGGGGAUAGUGAGGGACAGAGAGAGCCUGCUUUACAGUUGCUCGAAAUCAGGUUGCGAGCAAUCGCACGAGGGUUCGAAUCCCUCUCUCUGCGCCA
rnacentral:tRNA from 1 species